rnacentral:tRNA from 1 species
GUCCCUGUAGCAUGAUGGAUACCGCGUUGGACUUCUAAUCCAAAGGUCAUGGGUUCAAAUCCCACCUGGGAUG